rnacentral:lncRNA from 1 species
ACACAAUUCUAAUGGGUUGGGGAAUCAAGUGCUACCUGGCUGGAUCUCUCAGGAGCAUGGAUUCUCUCCGGAGGUUAUAGGCAAACUAUCAGCCAUCUUGUCCAUGGUCAUAUGGAGCCAUGCUCUUCAUACCCUGCACCAGCCAGCACUACUGUGGACAGAUAAGCAAGCUGUCCAGCUACCCCAGCAAGCUCUCAAACAGUCUCCCUGUGAAGAAGACAGACCCAGGUCUCUGGGUAGGAGGCUGCCAACUUUUUGGAAAAGGCCUUUGCUGCAACUACUGUGUGGGCCUCCGCAAAGGCGAGGGUGACAGGAACAGCAAGGUUUCAUGGGAGACAUCACCAACAGUAACAGUUUUAAACAUU